UACGUAGGGGGCUAGCGUUGUCCGGAAUCAUUGGGCGUAAAGCGCGUGUAGGCGGUCCGGUAAGUCCGCUGUGAAAGUCGAGGGCUCAACCCUCGAAUGCCGGUGGAUACUGUCGGGCUAGAGUGCGGAAGAGGCGAGUGGAAUUCCUGGUGUAGCGGUGAAAUGCGCAGAUAUCAGGAGGAACACCAGUGGCGAAGGCGGCUCCCUGGACCGGUCCUGACGCUCAGGAGCGAAAGCGUGGGUAGCGAUCCGG
rnacentral:rRNA from 1 species